AAGUAUAUGUGGACUCCUGUUGAUUCAAGGUUUUGCAAUUAGCCAUCUACCAUACAAUUACAAACCGCUCCCGAUUGCUGCUGCUGCAGGCAACACGUGAAGAUCUAUCGCAUGGCUUCCCAGGUUCGAACUCCAUGGCCAAGUCACUAUCAGGAGCAACCACAGGAGAGGCAGUGGCCAAACUGGCAACGGCAAGAACUAGAGAGACAAGAGUGAUCUUCAUUCUGUCAGUAAAAGAUGAACUUGAGGAAUAAAAGAUGAUAUAUGGAAAUUGUUGAUUGUUAUUUUGGCAAACUGAAGAAAGUGUUGAUGAAUUAUGAUUUUAAAAAAGC
rnacentral:sRNA from 1 species